rnacentral:rRNA from 1 species
UGGGGAAUAUUUCACAAUGGGCGCAAGCCUGAUGCAGCCAUGCCGCGUGUAUGAAGAAGGCCUUCGGGUUGUAAAGUACUUUCAGCGUGGAGGAAGGGAGUAAAGUUAAUACCUUUGCUCAUUGACGUUACCCGCAGAAGAAGCACCGGCUAACUCCGUGCCAGCAGCCGCGGUAAUACGGAGGGUGCAAGCGUUAAUCGGAAUUACUGGGCGUAAAGCGCACGCAGGCGGUUUGUUAAGUCAGAUGUGAAAUCCCCGGGCUCAACCUGGGAACUGCAUCUGAUACUGGAAAGCUUGAGUCUCGUAGAGGGGGGUAGAAUUCCAGGUGUAGCGGUGAAAUGCGUAGAGAUCUGGAGGAAUACCGGUGGCGAAGGCGGCCCCCUGGACAAAGACUGACGCUCAGGUGCGAAAGCGUGGGGAGCAAACAGG